AGUGAACGCUGGCGGUAGGCCUAACACAUGCAAGUCGAACGGCAGCACAGUAAGAGCUUGCUCUUACGGGUGGCGAGUGGCGGACGGGUGAGGAAUACAUCGGAAUCUCCUUUUUCGUGGGGGAUAACGUAGGGAAACUUACGCUAAUACCGCAUACUACCUACGGGUGAAAGCAGGGGAUCUUCGGACCUUGCGCGAUUGAAUGAGCCGAUGUCGGAUUAGCUAGUUGGCGGGGUAAAGGCCCACCAAGGCGACGAUCCGUAGCUGGUCUGAGAGGAUGAUCAGCCAAACUGGAACUGAGACACGGUCCAGACUCCUACGGGAGGCAGCAGUGGGGAAUAUUGGACAAUGGGCGCAAGACUGAUCCAGCCAUACCGCGUGGGUGAAGAAGGCCUUCGGGUUGUAAAGCCCUUUUGUUGGGAAAGAAAAGAAGAAGGUUAAUACCCCGCUGUUCUGACGGUACCCAAAGAAUAAGCACCGGCUAACUUCGUG
rnacentral:rRNA from 1 species